UGCGUAGGCGGUUAUAUUAGUCGGGUGUUAAAACCUGGGGCUCAACCUCAGGAUCGCAUCCGAAACGGUAUAACUAGAAGAAGUCAGAGGUAAACAGAACUCUCGGUGUAGGGGUGAAAUCCGUUGAUAUCGAGGGGAAUACCAAAUGCGAAGGCAGUUUACUGGGACUUUCUUGACGCUGAGGCACGAAAGCGUGGGUAGCGAACG
rnacentral:rRNA from 1 species